CAUUUCCAAUCUGGCAACACUGCACUAGAUCAACAGCGCUCCUAUUAUAGUCAGUGGAGCUCACGGCAAUUUAGUUAUAUAUGACACCUAUGUCACGUCGUGUUUCAGCCCUGGUCGCGCAUUCGUUUGACGGCCGUGAAACUUCAAUGGUGGCGCAGGCGAAUAUAGAUCCGGUGUAUGCUGCGUUUAGAAGGCUAGCGUUCCAAGCUGACUGCGGCGUUCAUGUAAAUAAAAAAAGAUGCUGCUCCUCUCGACCUGCUCCAGCUGGAAAAAACACCUCCCAAUCACCUCUCCUACAAGAGGGCGUCAAGUCCCUCUGGUGUUUUACCCAGAGUUCAAUAACCUACUCCACCCUCAAUCAAGAGUGAGAAAAGAGGACAACAAUAAGGAGAAGCUCUCAACAGGCAUGUAAAAGGUAAACGCCAAUGGGUGGGACUCACAUGCUGAUGGAAUGACGGUUGUCAGAGGGAUUAAAACUAAAGAUGAACCAUGUGGGAGUUUCCUCCAAAGAGCCUGUGGAUAAAUCUCAUUAGCAUACCUGCUCUGUGGAUGGCUGUAAAUUUAAGGAAUGACAUGCUGGAGAGAAUGAGGUUGGUUGAAAGUAGAGGGUGAAUAAACAGGCAGAAGCAACGCCAUAGUGCCACUAAGACCCCACCUGCCCAGCAUUAAUCAUUAGAAUAGCACCAGUUUUUGUGCCAUCUCCAAGGCCUCAGAAACCAUUAAACAUCUGGUCUCAAUAUAAAGUUUGUACAUACUGUACUGUGCCAUUACCAAGGAGUCAAGGUUAGUCUGGUUAGCAUGGCCUGGUUAGCCCCUGCUGGUAGACACCAUAACUACUAUAAAGGCUAUCCCAUCUGGUCCAAGCCAACAGAAAGUCUA